CGAAGAGGGCAAACUAUUCGAAAGGAUAGGACGCAAAGCUACAGGGGCUUCUUCUACAUGAAAAGCCAGCCAGCUGC
rnacentral:ncRNA from 1 species